rnacentral:rRNA from 1 species
GCAGUCGAGCGGUAGAGAGGUGCUUGCACCUCUUGAGAGCGGCGGACGGGUGAGUAAAGCCUAGGAAUCUGCCUGGUAGUGGGGGAUAACGCUCGGAAACGGACGCUAAUACCGCAUACGUCCUACGGGAGAAAGCAGGGGACCUUCGGGCCUUGCGCUAUCAGAUGAGCCUAGGUCGGAUUAGCUAGUUGGUGAGGUAAUGGCUCACCAAGGCGACGAUCCGUAACUGGUCUGAGAGGAUGAUCAGUCACACUGGAACUGAGACACGGUCCAGACUCCUACGGGAGGCAGCAGUGGGGAAUAUUGGACAAUGGGCGAAAGCCUGAUCCAGCCAUGCCGCGUGUGUGAAGAAGGUCUUCGGAUUGUAAAGCACUUUAAGUUGGGAGGAAGGGCAUUAACCUAAUACGUUAGUGUUUUGACGUUACCGACAGAAUAAGCACCGGCUAACUCUGUGCCAGCAGCCGCGGUAAUACAGAGGGUGCAAGCGUUAAUCGGAAUUACUGGGCGUAAAGCGCGCGUAGGUGGUUCGUUAAGUUGGAUGUGAAAUCCCCGGGCUCAACCUGGGAACUGCAUUCAAAACUGUCGAGCUAGAGUAUGGUAGAGGGUGGUGGAAUUUCCUGUGUAGCGGUGAAAU